rnacentral:rRNA from 1 species
GGGCCCGCACAAGCGGAGGAACAUGUGGUUUAAUUCGAUGAUACGCGAGGAACCUUACCCGGGUUUGAACGCAUUCGGACCGGAGUGGAAACACUCUUUUCAGCAAUGACCGUUUGCGAGGUGCUGCAUGGUUGUCGUCAGCUCGUGCCGUGAGGUGUCGGCUUAAGUGCCAUAACGAGCGCAACCCUUAUUGUUAGUUACCAUCAGGUAGUGCUGGGGACUCUAACAAGACUGCCAGCGUAAGCUGUGAGGAAGGUGGGGAUGACGUCAAAUCAGCACGGCCCUUACAUCCGGGGCGACACACGUGUUACAAUGGAUGGGACAGAGGGCAGCCACUUGGUGACAAGGAGCCAAUCCCUUAAAACCCAUUCUCAGUUCGGAUCGAAGUCUGCAACCCGACUUCGUGAAGCUGGAUUCGCUAGUAAUCGCGCAUCAGCCAUGGCGCGGUGAAUACG